AAAGCUCUCGGAAAUGAAGGAUCCGCCCAGGAGCCCAGACCCGCCCAAGGAGCGCCUAGGCGGUCUCCUAGGCCCAUUUUUCGAACACUAGCAGCAUAUGCAUAUGCAUGAUAUAAAAAAACCAACUGAUUGAAAUCACAUUGUAACUGAUUCAGCUGUGAAGAGGAUGAGUUGCUCUUGUCUCCCGAACCGUGUGAUAUAUAUUGAGCAAUGCCAAAGGGAAGGAAAGCAAACUGAAACACCAAAUUGAACAUUCAACUGCAAAGUACAAGACCUUUCUCUUUUCCAAGAUUUGAAUGAUUGUGUAGAGAAGUUUCUUCUAUUGCCACACUCUCAGCAAACCUUAUCCCAGGAGUGUGGAGACAAAUGGAUCAAUGAACUACUAGAUGGAUUGUGAGGCUCCUGGAUGUGUGUGGCAUCAUUAAGCAUGAUUGUUUGCCAGCCACCUCAACCAAACUCUCUUUCAACUGGGAAAAAAAACGUGUUUUGUUUCUUUUGUUUUUGUUCAUUUUGCACCUGGUGGACAUGUGGCAGCUACCACUAUCUAGAACACUGUUUAGCCACAUAACUACUCCUAAUACCACAUAUCAUGAGAUCAUUGUUUGGGCAUUUACUAA